CGUUAGUUGGAGUGGUAACGGCACACCAAGACGAUGAUGGGUAGGGGUCCUGAGAGGGUUAUCCCCCACACUGGUACUGAGACACGGACCAGACUCCUACGGGAGGCAGCAGUAAGGAAUAUUGGGCAAUGGGCGGGAGCCUGACCCAGCCAUGCCGCGUGCAGGAAGACGGCCCUAUGGGUUGUAAACUGCUUUUGUUUGGGACUAACAGCCGGGUCGUGACCCGGCCUGCAGGUACCGAAUGAAUAAGCAUCGGCUAACUCCGUGCCAGCAGCCGCGGUAAUACGGAGGAUGCGAGCGUUAUCCGGAUUUAUUGGGUUUAAAGGGUGCGUAGGCUGGUAAUUAAGUCAGUGGUGAAAUACUCCGGCUCAACCGGAGGGCUGCCGUUGAUACUGGUUACCUUGAGUUUAGAUGAUGUGGGCGGAAUGUGUCAUGUAGCGGUGAAAUGCAUAGAGAUGACACAGAACACCGAUAGCGAAGGCAGCUCACAAAGCUAUUACUGACGCUGAUGCACGAAAGCGUGGGGAUCAAACAGGAUUAGAUACCCUGGUAGUCCACGCUGUAAACGAUGAUCACUAGCUGUAGGCGAUACACUGUCUGUGGCUAAGCGAAAGCGAUAAGUGAUCCGCCUGGGGGAGUACGUCCGCAAGGAUGAAACUCAAAGGAAUUGACGGGGGCCCGCACAAGCGGAGGAGCAUGUGGUUUAAUUCGAUGAUACGCGAGGAACCUUACCUGGGCUUGAACGUAUUAUUGCAUGAUUGUGAAAGCGAUCUUUCUAGCGAUAGACUACAUACGAGUGCUGCA
rnacentral:rRNA from 1 species